rnacentral:rRNA from 1 species
GACAGAGGUGCCGAGCGUUAGGCGGAAUCACUGGGCUUAAAGCGUGUGUAGGCGGGUCCGUAAGUACCUUGUGAAAUCCCACGGCUCAACCGUGGAACUGCUUGGUAUACUGCGGGUCUUGAGCCACCUAGGGGCAAGUGGAACAAACGGUGGAGCGGUGAAAUGCGUAGAUAUCGUUUGGAACGCCAAUGGUGAAAACAGGCGACUGGGGUUGAGCUGACGCUGAGACACGAAAGCGUGGGGAGCGAACGGG